CCUUAUACUCUCCUCCACCUACAAAUCCCUUAGUAAAAACUUCUAUUUUUAUCAGUGACCAUUUUCCAUCGUAAGCACCACCGUUCUGCCCAACUAUUUCCCUGCUUUCCCCAUAUCUCCCUCUCCCCUCUUCUGUGCUUCUGCUGCAUUUGACAGAGUCAAACUCAUCUAACCAGGUGAAAUUAUGACGACGAUGAUGAAAUUGAAGCUGACAGGCUUUAUGUGGGUAACUUGCCAUAUGCCAUGACGUAGAGGUCUAUUUUGAUAUUUAUACUAUAUUCUUUGGCUUUGGUGAUUUGUUUUUUUGGAAAUUAUGAAUUUGGUCAUAAGUCGGUUUCUUGCCAUGCUUUUUUGGUGACAAACUGAUCUGGGUUUCUUGAAUUUGGUCAGAUUGUGUAUGAUAGAGUUACAGAAAGGAGUCAUGG
rnacentral:lncRNA from 1 species